rnacentral:rRNA from 1 species
UUACGGUAGGGCUACACACGUGCUACUUUGGCGGUANAGAGGGCGGCGAAGGGAAGACUGAGCAAAUCUUUGAAAGCUNGUCGUAGUCCGGAUUGAAGUCUGCAACUCGACUUCAUGAAGUCGGAAUCGCUAGUAAUCGCGAAUCAGCAUGUCGCGGUGAAUAC